rnacentral:sRNA from 1 species
CUAAUAAAUAGUUAGGUUAAGUUCGCAACGUCCUGUUGCAACACCGAACGACCCCGCUUCCUGUGAG